UGCGAGUAUGCGGGUGUCAAACCUGUGUGCGUAAUGAAAGUGAAGGCGGCUUGCUUCGUGCGGCUGCUGAGGUAGGAGGGUGGCGCUUCGUGCGUUGCCUGCACUAUCCACCGAUCAUGAUUCUUUGAUGAAAGAUUCGAGUGUGAGCAUAGAUGUUGGGACCCGAAAGAUGGUGAACUAUGCCUGAGUAGGGUGAAGCCUGAAGAAAUUCAGGUGGAGGCUCGUAGCGAUACUGACGUGCAAAUCGUUCGUCGAACCUGGGUAUAGGGGCGAAAGACUAAUCGAACCAUCGAGUAGCUGGUUCCCUCCGAAAUUUCCCUUAGGAUAGCAAUAACU
rnacentral:rRNA from 1 species